rnacentral:rRNA from 1 species
UACGUAGGUGGCAAGCGUUGUCCGGAUUUACUGGGUGUAAAGGGCGUGCAGCCGGGAAGACAAGUCAGAUGUGAAAUCCCGCGGCUCAACCGCGGAACUGCAUUUGAAACUGUUUUUCUUGAGUAUCGGAGAGGUAAUCGGAAUUCCUAGUGUAGCGGUGAAAUGCGUAGAUAUCAGGAGGAACACCGGCGGCGAAGGCGGCCUGCUGGACUGCGACUGACGUUGAGGCUCGAAAGCGUGGGGAGCGAACAGG